UGCCGGCAUCCUCCUGCUGGAAAUAUGGGAUUUCCAGGACGCCGCUGGCUUUUCUCAUGUCCACUUUCCUAGGGAAUGGCACAUUGUCGACUCUCCUCCAGCUUAUAGAAGGUGCUGGGCUGUGAAGAGAGAUCCAAGCUUCAAGAGGAGACUGCGCACUAUGGAUCAAAUUCAGAUGACUGACCCUGUAAAUGUCCUGCACCAUAAUAUUCAUAAAGAACAUGAUGGCGUUCAAAUCAUCUAGCUAAGCAGAUUGCAUAUAUCAAAGGAGGACAAGUCCAUGGGGACCUCAAAGGCCUGAGAUCAUCA